rnacentral:piRNA from 1 species
UCUUGGAAGCCUCUCCAUUACCUGUUCACAC